CAGGAUGAACGCUAGCUACAGGCUUAACACAUGCAAGUCGAGGGGCAUCAGGAAGAAAGCUUGCUUUCUUUGCUGGCGACCGGCGCACGGGUGAGUAACACGUAUCCAACCUGCCCUUUACUCGGGGAUAGCCUUUCGAAAGAAAGAUUAAUACCCGAUAGCAUAAUGAUUCCGCAUGGUUUCAUUAUUAAAGGAUUCCGGUAAAGGAUGGGGAUGCGUUCCAUUAGGUUGUUGGUGAGGUAACGGCUCACCAAGCCUUCGAUGGAUAGGGGUUCUGAGAGGAAGGUCCCCCACAUUGGAACUGAGACACGGUCCAAACUCCUACGGGAGGCAGCAGUGAGGAAUAUUGGUCAAUGGGCGCUAGCCUGAACCAGCCAAGUAGCGUGAAGGAUGAAGGCUCUAUGGGUCGUAAACUUCUUUUAUAUAAGAAUAAAGUGCAGUAUGUAUACUGUUUUGUAUGUAUUAUAUGAAUAAGGAUCGGCUAACUCCGUGCCAGCAGCCGCGGUAAUACGGAGGAUCCGAGCGUUAUCCGGAUUUAUUGGGUUUAAAGGGAGCGUAGGUGGACUGGUAAGUCAGUUGUGAAAGUUUGCGGCUCAACCGUAAAAUUGCAGUUGAUACUGUCAGUCUUGAGUACAGUAGAGGUGGGCGGAAUUCGUGGUGUAGCGGUGAAAUGCUUAGAUAUCACGAAGAACUCCGAUUGCGAAGGCAGCUCACUGGACUGCAACUGACACUGAUGCUCGAAAGUGUGGGUAUCAAACAGGAUUAGAUACCCUGGUAGUCCACACAGUAAACGAUGAAUACUCGCUGUUUGCGAUAUACAGUAAGCGGCCAAGCGAAAGCAUUAAGUAUUCCACCUGGGGAGUACGCCGGCAACGGUGAAACUCAAAGGAAUUGACGGGGGCCCGCACAAGCGGAGGAACAUGUGGUUUAAUUCGAUGAUACGCGAGGAACCUUACCCGGGCUUAAAUUGCAGUGGAAUGAUGUGGAAACAUGUCAGUGAGCAAUCACCGCUGUGAAGGUGCUGCAUGGUUGUCGUCAGCUCGUGCCGUGAGGUGUCGGCUUAAGUGCCAUAACGAGCGCAACCCUUAUCUUUAGUUACUAACAGGUUAUGCUGAGGACUCUGGAGAGACUGCCGUCGUAAGAUGUGAGGAAGGUGGGGAUGACGUCAAAUCAGCACGGCCCUUACGUCCGGGGCUACACACGUGUUACAAUGGGGGGUACAGAAGGCAGCUAGCGGGUGACCGUAUGCUAAUCCCAAAAGCCUCUCUCAGUUCGGAUCGAAGUCUGCAACCCGACUUCGUGAAGCUGGAUUCGCUAGUAAUCGCGCAUCAGCCACGGCGCGGUGAAUACGUUCCCGGGCCUUGUACACACCGCCCGUCAAGCCAUGGGAGCCGGGGGUACCUGAAGUACGUAACCGCAAGGAUCGUCCUAGGGUAAAAC
rnacentral:rRNA from 1 species